rnacentral:rRNA from 1 species
UACGUAGGGGGCGAGCGUUGUCCGGAUUUAUUGGGCGUAAAGAGCGUGUAGGCGGUUCGGUAAGUCUGUCGUGAAAUCCUGAGGCUCAACCUCGGACGUGCGAUGGAUACUGCCGGGCUAGAGGAUGGUAGAGGCGAGUGGAAUUCCCGGUGUAGCGGUGAAAUGCGCAGAUAUCGGGAGGAACACCAAUGGCGAAGGCAGCUCGCUGGGACGUCACUGACGCUGAGACGCGAAAGCGUGGGGAGCAAACAGG